CAUGUAGGCGGUCUGCUAAGUUCGGAGUGACAGUCACCAGCUUAACUGGUGAAGGACUUUGAAAACUGGCGGACUUGAGAGCGAAAGAGGGACAUGGAAUUCCGGGUGGAGCAGUGAAAUGCGUAGAGAUCCGGAGGAACACCAAAGGCGAAGGCAGUGUCCUGGCUCGUUUCUGACGCUGAGGUGCGAAAGCCAGGGGAGCGAACGGGAUUAGAUACCCCGGUAGUCCUGGCCGUAAACGAUGACCACCAGGCGUGGGAGGGAUCGACCCCUUCCGUGCCGUAGUCAACACAUUAAGUGGUCCGCCUGGGGAGUACGGUCGCAAGACUAAA
rnacentral:rRNA from 1 species